CCCAGUAAAGCUCGUUCUCGGGCAGACCCUUCGGUAUCCAAAGGCCGUCGGUGUCGAACUU
rnacentral:sRNA from 1 species